CUGUACUUUCUUCCAAUAAAAGUCUGUGCAGUUGAAGUCAUCCAUAAGAGCCAUGCUCUGUUGACUUGAAGCUUGCUUAAGCAACCCAGAUAUUGCCUUGUUGGCCUUG